CAGCAAAGUUUAUCUCUGCACAGAUCAAGGCAGAAUGUUGGAAAUUCUGAAUGUCCCACAGAGAGAAAGGGAGAGCCUCCUACUGGGGAUCGAGCCUGUAACCUGGGCAUCUGCCCUGACUGGGAAUCGAACUGUGACCUCUUGGUUCCUGGGUCAAUGCUCAACCGCUGAGCCACACAAGCUGGUAAUGCCACGAAAACAUUGUUUUUUCCAGUCAUUGAAGGAGCUCCAUCUGUAGCUACAGAAGUUAAUUUUGAGAGAGGUAGACUGUAUUUUUGCAGAAGUUUAAAAACACAAUUAAAUAUAUUUUGUCCUGUACUAGUGUUAUGCAUCAGUACUAGUUCCAAUAAUUCCUCAAACAUGUUGAAAUCCGUGUUGCAAGCACGAAGAAACACAGCUAUCUGAGCUACGCCUCCAAUGUCCAUACUCUCGUCACAGGCAAUGGAAAAAGCUUAGAAACCAGAUGAUUUUGCUUUGAUCUGAAUACUUAUAUUGUCGGCCAAAUCAGUAACGCUUUCCUCAACUGUA